UCCCCGCUUCCCUCCCUGAGCGGGUGGAUGGCUCAGACUCCCCCAAGUUGAGCCUUUUAUUGAGCCCCGGCGCCCGCCGGGGCUUUUUUUU
rnacentral:ncRNA from 1 species